rnacentral:rRNA from 1 species
GCGGUUAAAAAGCUCGUAGUUGGAUUUCUGCCGAGGACGACCGGUCCGCCCUCUGGGUGAGUAUCUGGCUCGGCCUGGGCAUCUUCUUGGAGAACGUAGCCUGCACUUGACUGUGUGGUGCGGUAUCCAGGACUUUUACUUUGAGGAAAUCAGAGUGUUUCAAGCAGGCAUACGCCUUGAAUACAUUAGCAUGGAAUAAUAAGAUAGGACCUCGGUUCUAU